CAUAAAAAUUAACUGCUAAACUAUGAUUACGUGCUGAUAAAUGUUGAUGCUAAUUAAGAAAUGAUGUGUUUUGAUCGAUGUUGUCAAAUGAAUGGGAUAGUGUAGUGUCAUAAUUAAUGAGAAUGAUAACCUGAGACUUUGCAUGAAGGGGCAAAUCAUGUUUGCACGGAAGUGUGCUAGUAAUAAGAAGUUUUAUCGGUCUAUUACUGAAAAUAUUGUAGGCAUUGAUACGAUUCGAGCAGUCUAACCUGAGUCUUUUUAUAGUUUUGGCGUAGUGAGGCCAGUCCAUCAGAGUCGGGAAAUUUCGUGGUAUGGAUGUAGAGCAUAUGUGUGGCAGCCCUCACACACGGUUGCCAGCGUCAGUGAAAGUGGACAUUGAGAUUUCGAUUCAUUCAGAUCUGUUCCUUUGCAUAUUGUGAACUUAUAAUCAUUCAUUUAAUUUGGUGGUUACUGGUUAACUGAUGUUUUGACAACUAAAUGCUGCAAAGUUGCUCUCCAUCUUGAACUCUUGACACCAAUAUUUUCUUUUGUAGAAUUUUAGUUUGAUUAUGUUUUUUAUUGGAUGAUUCUGAAGUGUAAACAGUCACAUAUGACCAGUGCCCGACCGCAUGGUUAGUACAUUGUAGUUAUUCCUUCUUUCCUUAAUGUUGCACGCAUUAAGAUUUAUGUCUUACAGUUUGCUCCUUUCCUUUUACGUUAGGCCCUGGCAGCAGGACAAAGCUCUGAGAAGGCUCCCAUGGCAAACAUACAGUCAGUGAGCUAGAUGCAUGUUGCCAACUUAGGAACAAAACGUUGCCGGAGAAAAGGGAGUGAGCCGACCAAGUGGAGGGAAGGAAAAGUUUGCUUUUGUAGAUGAAAUAGAGAAGCCGUGAGCUCCUUCACGACAAUAUGUCUUACCUUGUUGGUUGUAUCAUAUGGCUAUGAACAUUUGAUUGAUGAAUAUUUCAGUUUUGUUA